CAUAUGCUUGUCUCAAAGAUUAAGCCAUGCAUGUCUGAGUACAGACCGAUCUAAGGUGAAACCGCGAAUGGCUCAUUAAAUCAGUCAUAAUUCCUUGGAUAGUGAUAAAAAUUCCUCGGAUAACUGUGGAAAAUCCAGAGCUAAUACGUGCAACUGAGCUCCGACCUUGGCGUGAGUCGAGGGAAGAGCGCAUUUAUUAGAUUCAAAACUGACCGGUGUACUCCUUCGGGAUGCGCCGCUUGUCAAACUUGAUGACUCCGGAUAACUUAGCCGAGCGCUACGGUCUUGGUACCGGCGCCGUAUCUUUCAAGUGUCUGCCUUAUCAGCUUUCGAUUGUAGUUUAAACGCCUACAAUGGCUUUUACGUGUAACGGAGAAUCAGGGUUCGGUUCCGGAGAGGGCGCCUGAGAAACGGCUACCACAUCUAAGGAAGGCAGCAGGCACGCAAAUUACCCACUCCCAGCUCGGGGAGGUAGUGACGAAAAAUAACGAUGUGAGACUCUUCCGAGGCCUCACAAUCGGAAUGAGUCCAUUCUAAACAUUUGGACGAGGAUCCAUUGGAGGGCAAGUCUGGUGCCAGCAGCCGCGGUAAUUCCAGCUCCAAUAGCGUAUAUUAAAGUUGCUGCGGUUAAAAAGCUCGUAGUUGGAUCUCCUAGAUCCAAUUCGUGGGCGGGUCGCUCGUUGUACACACGUUCUACGCGGUUCCGUGGGGUUGUUCCUUCUAGCUCUUCAUUUUGUGGGAGUCUGGUAGUUUCUCGUUUGUUUUCGAGGCGUUUGCGCGUUCCCGAGAGCAUUACGUAGGGACACUCUCUCUCUCAUUUGAGGAAGUCUGGUUGGUCUCCCGCGUGGACGGUAGAGCGUAGUCUCUGAGUAUAGCCUGUCCGUGUUUGGUACAAUUAAAAUUUUGUUGGCUCGCUCGGAGUGCUCUUUACCGAGUGUUCCAGGGUGGCCGACACGUUCACUUUGAAAAAAUUAGAGUGCUUAAAGCGGGCCGAAAUGUCGCCUGAAUGUUGUUGCAUGGAAUGAAGGAACAGGACCUCGGUUCUGUUCUUUUUGUCGGUUUUAAUGAACCGAGGUAAUGAUUAAAAGGAACAGACGGUGGCAUUAGUAUUGAGUCGCUAGAGGUGAAAUUCUUGGACCGACUCAAGACUGACUACUGCGAAAGCAUUUGCCGAGAAUGUUUUCAUUAAUCAAGAACGAAAGUUAGAGGAUCGAAGGCGAUCAGAUACCGCCCUAGUUCUAACCCUAAACUAUGCUAACUAGCGAUCCGUCGGAGUCAAUCCCACGACCCGGCGGGAAGCCCCAGGGAAACCAAAGUCUUUGAGUUCCGGGGGAAGUAUGGUUGCAAAGCUGAAACUUAAAGGAAUUGACGGAAGGGCACCACCAGGAGUGGAGCCUGCGGCUUAAUUUGACUCAACACGGGAAACCUCACCAGGCCCGGACAUCAGAAGGAUUGACAGAUUGAGAGCUCUUUCUCGAUUCGAUGGGUGGUGGUGCAUGGCCGUUCUUAGUUGGUGGAGUGAUCUGUCUGGUUGAUUCCGAUAACGAACGAGACUCUACCCUACUAACUAGUCGGCGGAUCGUAACCCUGAGAUGGGUGGAACGGAAGCGCAGGUAUUGAGGUGCCGCGGCGUAUCAAUGUCACUGAGCUCUUGAGUUUUUGUGGGGUUUGCGUUGCGUCGUGCCGAUUGCUUGUUGCCCAAGUUUCGCUUACUGGGGGCGUCCGUCGCAAUGUAUCUUCUUAGAGGGAUCAGCGGCGUCUAGCCGCACGAGAAAGAGCAAUAACAGGUCUGUGAUGCCCUUAGAUGUUCUGGGCCGCACGCGCGCUACAAUGUAGGGCUCAGCGUGUCUAUUCCCUCUCCGAAAGGAGCGGGUAACCCGUUGAAACCCCUACCCGAUUGGGAUUGGGGAUUGCAAAUAUUUCCCAUAAACGAGGAAUUCCCAGUAAGCGCGAGUCAUUAGCUCGCGCUGAAUUACGUCCCUGCCCUUUGUACACACCGCCCGUCGCUACUACCGAUUGAAUGAUUCAGUGAGGGCAUCGGACUGGCGCCUUCGGUUGCAACAUACCUUAGGCUGACGGAAAGAUGUCCGAACUUGAUCAUUUAGAGGAAGUAAAAGUCGUAACAAGGUUUCCGUAG
rnacentral:rRNA from 1 species